UCUGUGUGGGGAUGAAUCCCUUAUCUGGAGACGGUUGGAUGAAUCUUGCGGAUAUGGGACUGAGCACAGGC
rfam:Xenopus tropicalis strain Nigerian scaffold_208_contig_25, whole genome shotgun sequence.